rnacentral:pre_miRNA from 1 species
UUGAAUACGGUCAUAUUAGCCAUAUUAGUAGGCAUAGGUACUUUGCCGUUUUAGGCUAUUAACAUGGAUGUUGUGAGUUUGUUCACAG